UUUAUCAGCACUAUAGUCUGUCUUUUGAACAUGAUUUAUUGUAAUACAGCAUACACUAAAGGAAAUAUUUUUGUUGGCUAUUUAAUUUCUGUUGCAAGACAUAUGGAUAUGAUUGGACUUCACAUUUGUGAGCAGUGUUUCAACCUCAUAUUGAAUUAUUUCGAUGAAUUCGCCUGGUUUAAUUUUGUACAAAAAAAAACCCCACGUUGAUGGGGUAGGUCUACAAGUUUAUAACUUGCUAACAUAUUUUCACUUAAAAGUUUAUAUAAAUACAUAAAAUAAUAUGCAUUUACUAAAGGGCAAGUACUAUCUUCAAAAGUUUUUCAGAAUUGUGCGAUAUUUUAAAGCAGUUAAUGUUUUUUAAAAUUGCGUUUAAAAAAUCAAGUCAUUUCCAUCUCGUCUUCUUUAUCAAUUUUAGUGUCAUAAAAAAGUAUGUUCUAAACAAAAAUAAGAUACUUCAGAUAGUGAUAUAAUUAUUUCUGAUUAACCUGCUUGCACCGUUUUGAAAACACAAACUAGAAGAGCAGUCCACAAGACACAUGCUGGUGACUGCUGCGAUCGAUCAGUGACCGGGUCUUACUUGAGAUGUUGAGCCCUUCUGGAUAGGACUGGAAGUUGGCGCUCGUUUAGAUGACGCUCUUUGGGACAACGGGACGAAACUGGGUGGACGAAUUGACGACUGGCCGUGGGGCGAAAACAUGGCUGACGGAAAAUGUGUCUUCGUGGACCCGUCCAAAGGAUUCGCGUGGAAGAGAAAGUCUUGUGAAAAAUAUAUAAACUUUCUCUGUGAAUAUCCCAUUGAUAGAUGUAGUAGCGGAUGAGCUGGCGAGAAAAACAAUUCUCGUAAAAUAACAACAAAUGAAAAAGAAACAAAAUGUUUAAAUUUAUAGUUCGUUUUUUUUAUCGAUACAACUAGAGCACAUUGAUUUAGUUAUCUUCGGAACAAGGGAACUGCACAAUAAAACAUUUUAUUUAAACAAUAUAAUAAAUAGAUAAAGUAGACAGCUAUAAAUACCUUGGCAUUUUAUUCACCAAAAACGGGUCGUUCUAUAAGUCCAAAAAGGCACUAGUAGCUCAAGCUAAAAAAAAAGGUUUACAUUUUCUUAAAAUUAGAAUUAGAAAAUUAAAUAUACCUAUAAACUGUCAGCUUAAAGGUAGUACUAAACCAAAUAACUUCCGGCUGGGUCAAAGUUCCAGGUGCACUGAACUCUUGAUGGAGAAGUGAACACCAUAAGUCCUGUGAUUGGUAAUAAAUGUGAGUAUGUUGGUUGCGAAAAGAUUUAUGUAAUUUUAUUUCAUCUAGUACCACUGUGUCAGGUAGCCUUGUGCUUGAAACAUGUAUGGGAUACCUGUAAAAAAAGUACUCGAAGUUUGUACGGAACUAGUGUAGUUAUAGACGCUACCCAUUAUCUCAGAAAUGAGCAUCUUGACCCCGAAUAUUUUCCGAUUCACUUUCAGGGUGAGGGGUGGUAGUAUUUAUAUCCGUGUCGUUUAUGUCUAUUAAUACACUUCAGGUAGGAGUUUUAGCGACGUAUGUUACUAUUGUCGUCUAUGGGAUUUGAUUUGGUAUUAUACACCCUAUACUAUUUGAAAGCACAAUUGUCCCUAUACUUCUGUAUGGAUCAGAAAUCUGGGGAUUCCGCAUCAAUCAAAUUAUUGAGCAAAUACAGCUAAAUUUUCUGAGAGAUAUCUUGAGAGUUAGAAAAAUUACUCCAUUAUCCAUACUUUAUGCCGAAUUCGGUAUUAACCCCUUAAAAAUAAAAAUAAAAACUAGAAUGCUAAGUUUUUGGCCUCCAUUGAUAACAGAUAAAUCAAGCAAAAUUUCAGUUAUACUAUACAAAUACAAUGUAUGUAAUGCUAACAAACAGAACCACACAAACGGGUAAAUUCAAAUGGUUAACUUAUAUUAAUGAAACUCUAAACAAACAUGGAUUGGGAAAUAUUGGUUAAGAAAAAAGUGUUUAUAAAUAUAGCAUCUCAAAGGUUAACUGACCAAUAUUUGCAAGUCUGGCGUGAUAAGUUUAAUACCUCUACAAAAUGCAUUUCUUAUAGAGUAUUCAAAACAACAUUCUCGUUUGAAAAGCAUCUUCUUCAUUUACUUCAUAAGAUGCUAAUUAUUUUAAGUCGCUUCCGAAGAAGUAAUCAUUUGUUACCUUUCGAAACUGGGAAAUGGCAAAAUGUUGACUGAAAAGACAGACUAUGUCCUCUAUGUAACACCAAUCUAGGUGAUUAAUUUCAUUAUCAAUGUUGACUGAAAAGACAGACUAUGUCCUCUAUGUAACACCAAUCUAGGUGAUGAAUUUCAUUAUCUUUUUCAGUGUCCAUAUUUUGAUAAUAAAAGGAAAUUAUACAUAGGUAAAUCCUACAGUACUAGGACAAACAACAUCAAAUGGAAACAACUCUUUACUUCCCCCAAAACGUCUGUUAUUAAACAAUGUAUUUUUAUUGAUAAUUUUAAUUCUGUAUUUAAAGAUAUUUUUGAAAAGUAGAUAUUUCGAAUUAUUGUAUAUGUAUUACACUAUAAAAAAUAUUAUGUUGCCUAUGUAUUAAACUAUUUCUGAAUCUAAAAAAAAAAAAAUAUUUUAUAGAUAUUAACUCCGUAUUUAAAGAUAUGUUUGUAAAGUAGAUAUUUCGAAUUAUUGUAUAUAAGAUAUGUUCUAUUGUUUUAUAGUUUACUGUACUAUUUUUGUUUUAUUGCAGCUGCACUAAAUGUUUGUAAAUCACCUCUAUGUAUCACCAUAUGGUGAUCUGAGUGUAAAUAAAGUUCUGUUCUGUUCUGUUC